GCUGUGGAACAAUGGUCUUUCUACUUUUCAUUUGUUAAACAUUGUGGUUAGCUGUGCAUUAAGCAUAUGAUUAUAAAGUAAAUUGAAAAUAUUUUAUUGCAAAAAUUAAAAGAAAAAAGAAAGAAGAGAAGUAGAGAGGAGGGAUGAAAUAUAGUUCUUUUCUUAAAAUUAUAUCUAUGGAAUCUGUUCCUUUAUAUUAAUAAUUUUUUUUUUUUUUUUUGACAGGCAGAGUGGACAGUGAGAGAGAGAGACAGAGAGAAAGGUCUUCCUUUGCCGUUGGUUCACCCUCCAAUGGCCGCCGCGGCCGGCGCGCUGCGGCCGGCGCACCGCGCUGAUCCGAUGGCAGGAGCCAGGAGCCAGGAGCUUUUCCUGGUCUCCCAUGGGGUGCAGGGCCCAAGCACCUGGGCCAUCCUCCACUGCACUCCCUGGCCACAGUAGAGAGCUGGCCUGGAAGAGGGGCAACCGGGACAGAAUCCGGCGCCCCGACCGGGACUAGAACCCGGGGUGCCGGCGCCGCUAGGCGGAGGAUUAGCCUAGUGAGCCGCGGCGCCGGCUAUAUUAAUAAUUUUUUAACAAUUUGAAAUUUUUAAAAUGCUAAUGAUGCUGUUUUUGAAAAUUUUCAUCUUAGAUGAAAUCAAAAUAGAAAGAUUUUAAAACAGAAACAAAUAGGUAGUUAAAGGGAAGAAACUAUAAUGAUAUAUAAUAUUAUUUAUUAUUGCAAAUUUGAGUAACAUUGUUCUUCCCUUGAAAAAUAGAGUUGGGCAGUUUUGUGAAUCUUGGUCAAUCAGUCUUACUAUCACACCUGAUGUAAUUAUUAAUGAAUGAAAUGAAACUUGCUUCUAGGGGCAGGAAUCCAAGAAUCCAAGAAUGAAAUCUGCUUCCUCAGACACCAAUUUUACCACAAUUGUGAAUGGAAGUUGGCUUCUAAAUAAGGAAGAGAACCACCUUCCCCUUUCAUCAGGAGAAAGAAAGAAGGUAUUUGUUGGAAGAAAUAAAAAAGAUGAUUCUAGAAUAGUAUUCUCUCAGAAGAUGUGAAAGAUAUGAAAGCCCCUCUGGGAUCCAGAGCCCAUUUGGUGCCUUACCUAACUGCAUGUCCUGCAGGUAUGGAUCAAUCACACGUUCUGUUUUGCUUCCACAUUUCUUUUAUCCUUAGCUAUUUCCCUUUUAUUUAGUUCCUGUGAGUUUUUCCCCAGAUAGAUACAAAGAGCACAGCAUUUUGCCUAGGAAAUAAUAUCUUGUUUCCUUUGCCAGGAGCUGUGUUGUUGCAACAGUAAUAUAAAUGUGCAGCCUACAUUAGAUACCCAACCAACUUGUCACUUGUUUGAAAAGGAGCCCUCUAUUUGACUAGAAGAGACAGGGGCCAAAUGAGCCUGCUUCUUUCCUAUGUCAGCCAGCAGUGCAAUUACUGGAACGGGGGCUACGGAAGGACAAAGCAGUCACUCACCCAUACACACAGGUGCUGUGUCCUUGAAAUAGUUGAUUGUACUUGGGACCCCGUCUUGGCCUCUUAACCAUAUGCUGCAACCUGGGAUUUCAUAAAUGACGGUAAUUCAUUGGUCAUUUGUUGAGGCCUCUGAGCACAAUUUUUGAAAGGAUGGUUCCUUUUUCUUGAUGUCCCCUGAUAAAAUUUCAUGGUUUCUAUAAUCUUUAGAAUUCAUAAUCUUUAGGUAAUGCACUUUGUAGAAACAGCAGGAAAGUAAGAAUUUGCAAACCUCCUUUUCUUCACUGAUGAGUUUAAAAAUGCCAUCAUUUACUUCAAGUGUUGAAAAUGGAACUUUCUCCAUAUUCAAGCAGUGGUGUUCUCUUUUCAUGCUGAAAAGCAAUGAAUUGUCAAAAAUGGACAUCUUGCCAUGAAUAAAGAUGACAACUGAGUAAGUGACUUGGAAAUA
rnacentral:lncRNA from 1 species